AUAAUAAUUAAGCAAUAAAAGCACUUUUAUUGCUUAAUUAUUUGUAUAUAUACACAUUAAUUGUGAUUGUUUUUCCCAUUUAGCCAAAUUUCAAUCCAGCCAAAUACCCCAUCUAUAUCCUCCUCUCUCAACAAUUUUUUUUUUUUGUUAUGUAUGGUAGUUUGCUUGUAGAAUUCCCAAGAGUCAACCUUGUGUUAUACCAUAACCAGCUGUUUAUCUUCUAGUACAUAUCUCAACCUCUGAACUCCCAUAAAUAUCUUAAAUGUAAUAAUAAACAAGGCAAGUGACUCCAAAGGUUGCUUUAAGUUGUGCCAUAAAAACAUUAUGGUUUUAUUUGCUAAGCUGGAAAUUGUGAGGAACUGAUCUAAAAUUGUACAUUUCAGGUGAAAAACUUGACUAUUUUUCCAUUUUGUAUAUUUUAGUGAAAAAAAAACAUUACGUAUUGGAAAAAUUCCUGCUAGAAGGCUGGGGGUAUGGGGAGUAAGGUUUUUUUUUUGUUUUUUUUGUAGUGAAUUGUAUCUUGCACAACUACAUCUCAAUGUUCUAGCUAAGAUCCGAAGACGUGACUAUACAGCUGAGUUUCAGAAUUCCAAAUAAGCUAUUUGUCCUAGGAGUUCCAUUAAUAACAACUCGCUGUAAAUAGAAAAGAGACACUAUACCUAAACAUAACUGAGGGCUUUAUCCACCAAACCAGAAAUGUUUAAAAAUUCACAGGGGAAUUGAAGAUUUAAGCCCAACAUAGUCCUACUAGGAAAAUAGCUGAAUGGAGACGUUUUUCUUUUUUACUAUUCUCGCUUAAUAUAUGCAAUCCGCUUGUCAAUUCUCACAAUCUGUAAUUCAGAGAAUACGCUAUAUAGUUCCAUAUUUGACACAUGACAGAAUCUGAAAAUUUGAUAGAGUUUUGAAGCUUUAUGUUCAUUUAGAAACAAAGCAAAACAUCCAUUCUAAUAACUCUUCCAUUGUUUAAGCUAAAUGUUAAUGUUAACAAGUUAUCAAGUUAUGCAUUGUUAACCUACCAAAUAAUCUGUAAUAUCAAUGUCUAAUUAAAUAAAUUUUGAUUUUAUUUGAAAGAGAACAUUAUCUAAUUACUAGUUAUACAAGCUCUACUCCAAUCUAAGCUUUUUAAUAUUGUCAAUAUCGAUGUAUUUAAUUGACAUGUCACCUAAUGAAAGGUUUGAUGCAUUUUAAUUUAUAGGUUUGUUUUUGUUUGUUUUUGUUUAUGUAAGCUCUACUGUAUAAUAUCUGUACUAGAAAUUAUAGAAUGUUUAUUAGUUUUUUUUGUUUGAUUGUUCUGUAAGAGACACAACUGGUAUCAGAAAUUCCUAUACGGAUAGAAGGCGAGAUGAAGAUAAGACUGAUUGUGAGUGGCCAAUCGGUGAUGGAAUUUCUGGUACUGUAUGUCUGAUUGGUAGACCUCAGUGUUCUAUUUUAGAAUGCUGGCAUACUGCACUUUCACUCUUACCCACAUAUAUAACGUCCCACCUCUGUGGCAUAGAGUUAAAGGUGGAGCAAGAUGUAUUGCUCAAAACCAAUCAGAAUUUCACUGCAGAUCUGUUCUUUAUAUUUUACUCUGUAUAAUGCUAACUUUGCCAUUAUGAUUGGAUAAAAAUAAUGGGAAAUGUAGUUCACCUUCUGGCUUGCCCAGAUUAGCUUCCACUGCUAUAUAUAUAUAUGUAUUUAUAUAACUCUCAUUCAAAGUACAAGUUUUCUUCCUUGAAGAAUUAUAUAAAAUGGAGUAUUAAUGUCUGAGUUUUAAGUAGAUAUGUAAAUAACAUUUCUAUUUAUCAUCUCACUUUUAUUGUUGUUCUUGAAUAAUGUAAGUGUCAGCAGAAAAAAAAAAACUAACAAUCAAAAUGUAAUUUAUUUUGAGUGAUAUUAAUGAGGUUGUUCCCAUUGUCCCACAGGUGUAACUAUCAGCUUGUGUGUACCGUGCAUCAAUGCUUUAUAAGUGUUGUUUUUAACUUGCCUUGUACAUAUUUUUAUUGCAAAUAAAGUCAUUUUUUUUAAAU